rnacentral:rRNA from 1 species
GACGAACGCUGGCGGCGUGCUUAACACAUGCAAGUCGAACGGAAAGGCCCUGCUUGCAGGGUACUCGAGUGGCGAACGGGUGAGUAACACGUGGGUGAUCUGCCCUGCACUUCGGGAUAAGCCUGGGAAACUGGGUCUAAUACCGGAUAAGAGCCAUUUUUAGUGUGAUGGUUGGAAAGUUUUUUCGGUGUAGGAUGAGCUCGCGGCCUAUCAGCUUGUUGGUGGGGUAAUGGCCUACCAAGGCGGCGACGGGUAGCCGGCCUGAGAGGGUGGACGGCCACAUUGGGACUGAGAUACGGCCCAGACUCCUACGGGAGGCAGCAGUGGGGAAUAUUGCACAAUGGGCGCAAGCCUGAUGCAGCGACGCCGCGUGGGGGAUGACGGCCUUCGGGUUGUAAACUCCUUUCGCUAGGGACGAAGCUUUUUGUGACGGUACCUAGAGAAGAAGCACCGGCUAACUACGUG